CUGAUGGCGACCGGCGCACGGGUGAGUAACACGUAUCCAACCUGCCGUCUACUCUUGGCCAGCCUUCUGAAAGGAAGAUUAAUCCAGGAUGGGAUCAUGAGUUCACAUGUCCGCAUGAUUAAAGGUAUUUUCCGGUAGACGAUGGGGAUGCGUUCCAUUAGAUAGUAGGCGGGGUAACGGCCCACCUAGUCAACGAUGGAUAGGGGUUCUGAGAGGAAGGUCCCCCACAUUGGAACUGAGACACGGUCCAAACUCCUACGGGAGGCAGCAGUGAGGAAUAUUGGUCAAUGGGCGAUGGCCUGAACCAGCCAAGUAGCGUGAAGGAUGACUGCCCUAUGGGUUGUAAACUUCUUUUAUAAAGGAAUAAAGUCGGGUAUGCAUACCCGUUUGCAUGUACUUUAUGAAUAAGGAUCGGCUAACUCCGUGCCAGCAGCCGCGGUAAUACGGAGGAUCCGAGCGUUAUCCGGAUUUAUUGGGUUUAAAGGGAGCGUAGAUGGAUGUUUAAGUCAGUUGUGAAAGUUUGCGGCUCAACCGUAAAAUUGCAGUUGAUACUGGAUGUCUUGAGUGCAGUUGAGGCAGGCGGAAUUCGUGGUGUAGCGGUGAAAUGCUUAGAUAUCACGAAGAACUCCGAUUGCGAAGGCAGCCUGCUAAGCUGCAACUGACAUUGAGGCUCGAAAGUGUGGGUAUCAAACAGGAUUAGAUACCCUGGUAGUCCACGCGGUAAACGAUGAAUACUCGCUGUUUGCG
rnacentral:rRNA from 1 species